AUUGAACGCUGGCGGCAGGCUUAACACAUGCAAGUCGAGCGGGGGAAGGUAGCUUGCUACCGGACCUAGCGGCGGACGGGUGAGUAAUGCUUAGGAAUCUGCCUAUUAGUGGGGGACAACAUCUCGAAAGGGAUGCUAAUACCGCAUACGUCCUACGGGAGAAAGCAGGGGAUCUUCGGACCUUGCGCUAAUAGAUGAGCCUAAGUCGGAUUAGCUAGUUGGGGGGGUAAAGGCCUACCAAGGCGACGAUCAGUAGCGGGUCUGAGAGGAUGAUCGGCCACACUGGGACUGAGACACGGCCCAGACUCCUACGGGAGGCAGCAGUGGGGAAUAUUGGACAAUGGGGGGAACCCUGAUCCAGCCAUGCCGCGUGUGUGAAGAAGGCCUUAUGGUUGUAAAGCACUUUAAGCGAGGAGGAGGCUACUCUAGUUAAUACCUAGGGAUAGUGGACGUUACUCGCAGAAUAAGCACCGGCUAACUCUGUGCCAGCAGCCGCCGUAA
rnacentral:rRNA from 1 species